GACGAACGCUGGCGGCGUGCUUAACACAUGCAAGUCGAACGGAAAGGCCUGCUUUCCCUUGUGGAUUGCGGGUGCUCGAGUGGCGAACGGGUGAGUAACACGUGAGUGAUCUGCCCCCAACUUGGGUAUAAGCCUGGGAAACUGGGUCUAAUUCCCGAUAGGACUGCAGGGUGGUGCCUGUGGUGGAAAACGAUUUUCUAGUGGUUGGGGAUGAGCUCGCGGCCUAUCAGCUUGUUGGUGGGGUAAUGGCCUACCAAGGCGGCGACGGGUAGCCGGCCUGGGAGGGUGGACGGCCACAUUGGGACUGGGAUACGGCCCAGACGCCUACGGGAGGCAGCAGUGGGGAAUAUUGCACAAUGGGCGGAAGCCUGAUGCAGCGACGCCGCGUGGGGGAUGACGGCCUUCGGGUUGUAAACUCCUUUCGACCGCGAGGAAGCCACCUGGUUGGAAGGGUGGUGACGGUAGUGGUAGAAGAAGCACCGGCUAACUACGUG
rnacentral:rRNA from 1 species